GACUCGGUGGCGAAUGGUAUCGCAUCCGCUUUUCCUGUAUUCCCCAGAUUUUCCAGCGGAAGGCGCCUGUUCGAAUCAGGCCCGAGUCA